GACGAACGCUGGCGGCGCGCUUAACACAUGCAAGUCGAGCGAUGAAACUUUAACAGAACCCUUCGGGGCGAAGAUAAAGUGGAUUAGCGGCGGACGGGUGAGUAACACGUGAGUAACCUGCCUUAGACAUUGGGAUAGCCUCGGGAAACCGGGAUUAAUACCAAAUAAAAUCAUAAUGACACAUGUCAUAACGAUCAAAACUCCGGUGGUCUAAGAUGGACUCGCGUCCCAUUAGCUAGUUGAUAGAGUAAAAGCCUACCAAGGCGACGAUGGGUAGCCGGACUGAGAGGGGGAACGGCCACAUUGGAACUGAGAAACGGUCCAAACUCCUACGGGAGGCAGCAGUGGGGAAUAUUGCACAAUGGAGGGAACUCUGAUGCAGCGACGCCGCGUGAACGAAGAAGGCUUUCGAGUCGUAAAGUUCUUUUAUAUGGGAAGAUAAUGACGGUACCAUAAGAAAAAGCCCCGGCUAACUACGUG
rnacentral:rRNA from 1 species